AAAUUGAAGAGUUUGAUCAUGGCUCAGAUUGAACGCUGGCGGCAGGCCUAACACAUGCAAGUCGAACGGUAACAGGAAGCAGCUUGCUGCUUUGCUGACGAGUGGCGGACGGGUGAGUAAUGUCUGGGAAACUGCCCGAUGGAGGGGGAUAACUACUGGAAACGGUGGCUAAUACCGCAUAACGUCGCAAGACCAAAG
rnacentral:rRNA from 1 species